UACAGGGGGAGCAAGCGUUGUUCGGAGUUACUGGGCGUAAAGGGUGUGUAGGCGGUUGUUUAAGUUUGGUGUGAAAUCUCCCGGCUCAACUGGGAGGGUGCGCCGAAUACUGAAUGACUUCGAGUGCGGGAGAGGUGAGUGGAAUUCCUGGUGUAGCGGUGAAAUGCGUAGAUAUCAGGAGGAACACCGGUGGUGUAGACGGCUCACUGGACCGUAACUGACGCUGAGACACGAAAGCGUGGGUAGCAAACAGG
rnacentral:rRNA from 1 species